rnacentral:rRNA from 1 species
GACGAACGCUGGCGGCGUGCCUAAUACAUGCAAGUCGAGCGGACAGAAGGGAGCUUGCUCCCGGAAGUUAGCGGCGGACGGGUGAGUAACACGUGGGCAACCUACCCUGUAGAUCGGGAUAACAUCGAGAAAUCGGUGCUAAUACCGGAUAAUCAUUUGAAGUGCAUGCUUCGAAUGUAAAAGAUGGCUCCGGCUAUCACUACGGGAUGGGCCCGCGGCGCAUUAGCUAGUUGGUAAGGUAAUGGCUUAACAAGGCAACGAUGAGUAGCCGACCGGGGAGGGGGAUCCGCCACACUGGGAAUGAGACACGGACCAGAGUCCUACGGGAGGCAGCAGUAGGGAAUCUUCCGCAAUGGACGAAAGUCUGACGGAGCAACGGCGCGUGAGUGAUGAAGGUUGUCGGAUCGUAAAGCUCUGUUGUUAGGGAAGAACAAGUGCCGUUUGAAUAAGGCGGCACCUUGACGGUAACUAACCAGAAAGCCACGGCUAACUACGUGCCAGCAGCCGCCGUAACAC